CUCCAGCAGGAACCAACCAUGGUGAACCAACCAUGGUGGCAUCUUGAUCUUGGGCUUCCAGACUUCAAAACUAUGAGGGUUGAUGUGGGACUCAAGAUGAGACAUUUAUGAAACUGCAAAGUGUUUUAUGCACUGAAACACUCGUUACCAUCAGCUUUAAGAUGGUGGCUGUGAAAUCCUGGCUGUUAGCUGCCAUCUUCCCUGUCUUCCUCCUUGCACACUUAGGUCUGAAUCCAAUUAUUCAGCAAAAAGCAGCAUGAGAUCACCUUCCAACAUCUCUCCAGCUCCUUUGGGGUAGGUG